rnacentral:rRNA from 1 species
GCCCUAGUAACGGCGAGUGAAGCGGCAACAGCUCAAAUUUGAAAUCUGGCUCUUUCAGAGUCCGAGUUGUAAUUUGCAGAGGGCGCUUUGGCUUUGGCAGCGGUCCAAGUUCCUUGGAACAGGACGUCACAGAGGGUGAGAAUCCCGUACGUGGUCGCUAGCUAUUGCCGUGUAAAGCCCCUUCGACGAGUCGAGUUGUUUGGGAAUGCAGCUCUAAAUGGGAGGUAAAUUUCUUCUAAAGCUAAAUAUUGGCCAGAGACCGAUAGCGCACAAGUAGAGUGAUCGAAAGAUGAAAAGCACUUUGGAAAGAGAGUCAAACAGCACGUGAAAUUGUUGAAAGGGAAGCGCUUGCAGCCAGACUUGCUUGCAGUUGCUCAUCCGGGCUUUUGCCCGGUGCACUCUUCUGUAGGCAGGCCAGCAUCAGUUUGGGCGGUGGGAUAAAGGUCUCUGUCACGUACCUCUCUUCGGGGAGGCCUUAUAGGGGAGACGACAUACCACCAGCCUAGACUGAGGUCCGCGCAUCUGCUAGGAUGCUGGCGUAAUGGCUGUAAGCGGCCCGUCUUGAAACACGGACCAAGGAGUCUAACAUCUAUGCGAGUGUUUGGGUGUCAAGCCCGAGCGCGUAAUGAAAGUGAACGGAGGUGGGAACCCGCAAGGGUGCACCAUCGACCGAUCCUGAAGUUUACGGAAGGAUUUGAGUAAGAGCAUGGCUGUUGGGACCCGAAAGAUGGUGAACUAUGCUUGAAUAGGGUGAAGCCAGAGGAAACUCUGGUGGAGGCUCGCAGCGGUUCUGACGUGCAAAUCGAUCGUCAAAUUUGGGCAUAGGGGCGAAAGACUAAUCGAACUAUCUAGUAGCUGGUUCCUGCCGAAGUUUCCCUCAGGAUAGCAGUAACGUAUUCAGUUUUAUGAGGUAAAGCGAAUGAUUAGAGGCAUGGGGGUUGAAACAACCUUCACCUAUUCUCAAACUUUAAAUAUGUAAGAAGCCCUUUGUUACUUAAUUGAACGCGGGCAUUUGAAUGAAACGUUAUUAGUGGGCCAUUUUUGGUAAGCAGAACUGGCGAUGCGGGAUGAACCGAACGAGGGGUUACGGUGCCGGAGUACACGCUCAUCAGACACCACAAAAGGUGUUGGUUCAUCUAGACAGCAGGACGGUGGCCAUGGAAGUCGGAAUCCGCUAAGGAGUGUGUAACAACUCACCUGCCGAAUGAACUAGCCCUGAAAAUGGAUGGCGCUCAAGCGUGUCACCUAUACCCCUCCGCCGGGGCAAAAUUUACGCCCCGGCGAGUAGGCAGGCGUGGAGGCUCGUGACGAAGC